rnacentral:rRNA from 1 species
UACGAAGGGGGCUAGCGUUGCUCGGAAUCACUGGGCGUAAAGCGCACGUAGGCGGCUUUUUAAGUCAGGGGUGAAAUCCUGGAGCUCAACUCCAGAACUGCCUUUGAUACUGAGAAGCUUGAGUCCGGGAGAGGUGAGUGGAACUGCGAGUGUAGAGGUGAAAUUCGUAGAUAUUCGCAAGAACACCAGUGGCGAAGGCGGCUCACUGGCCCGGUACUGACGCUGAGGUGCGAAAGCAUGGGGAGCAAACAGG